rnacentral:rRNA from 1 species
GAUGAACGCUGGCGGCGUGCCUAAUACAUGCAAGUCGAGCGAACAGAUAAGGAGCUUGCUCCUUUGACGUUAGCGGCGGACGGGUGAGUAACACGUGGGUAACCUACCUAUAAGACUGGGAUAACUUCGGGAAACCGGAGCUAAUACCGGAUAAUAUUUCGAACCGCAUGGUUCGAUAGUGAAAGAUGGUUUUGCUAUCACUUAUAGAUGGACCCGCGCCGUAUUAGCUAGUUGGUAGGUAACGGCUUACCAAGGCGACGAUACGUAGCCGACCUGAGAGGGUGAUCGGCCACACUGGAACUGAGACACGGUCCAGACUCCUACGGGAGGCAGCAGUAGGGAAUCUUCCGCAAUGGGCGAAAGCCUGACGGAGCAACGCCGCGUGAGUGAUGAAGGUCUUCGGAUCGUAAAACUCUGUUAUUAGGGAAGAACAUACGUGUAAGUAACUGUGCACGUCUUGACGGUACCUAAUCAGAAAGCCACGGCUAACUACGUG